rnacentral:rRNA from 1 species
UACGAAGGGAGCUAGCGUUGUUCGGAAUCACUGGGCGUAAAGCGCACGUAGGCGGAUGUGUCAGUCAGGGGUGAAAUCCCGGAGCUCAACUUCGGAACUGCCUUUGAUACAGCACAUCUGGAGUCCGGAAGAGGUGGGUGGAAUUCCUAGUGUAGAGGUGAAAUUCGUAGAUAUUAGGAAGAACACCAGUGGCGAAGGCGGCUCACUGGACCGGAACUGACGCUGAGGCGCGAAAGCGUGGGGAGCAAACAGG